UCUAAUAUGGCAGACAAGUGCAAUGGAUUUAAGCUCCAUAUAUAAAGGCUUAUACCUUUUGUUAGAA
rnacentral:tRNA from 1 species